rfam:Rhodobacterales bacterium 65-51 scnpilot_p_inoc_scaffold_22, whole genome shotgun sequence.
AUGAGCCGGGAUCGCCAUCCGUCAGCGCGUUGCGCCCACGGGUGCCCUUGGG